AUUUUUUUUAAAUUUUUUGUUCUGUUGCAGGUGGGAAAGUGGAAAAAUAAAGGAAACCUCCUAGCCCUCGUUUCCUAAUAGCGUCGGAGGGGAGAAGUGUUUGUUACCAGGCAGCGAGACCGUGGGAUAGGGAUAGCGUUUAAAGGUGACAAGUAGGCUAAUAGGCGGCGACCCUGAUAUUGCCAGUACAGCGGCCGUGCUGACAGUUCUAUAGGCAGAAGUUAUAAGAAUUGAGAGUCUUCUAUUAAUGGCUUCUAGUAGCUUUUUGGACCACCCGCAUUCGGCAUAAUUCCUACCAGCAAAUCCUUUUCUAGAAAGACCCCUAGAUAUUUUGCGUAUGGAGCACUUGUUACGAGAGUGUCCUCAAUGGUAACUGUUAUAUCCUUCUUUUCUUCUUCCUUGAAGAGAUUCCAGUCGCGCUAUUCUGCUCCAUGACUUGGUUCCCUGUCAGUGGAGCUGAGCAGUAGGUUGCUGACGGUCGGGCGGGGCCUGCUCGGUCACCCGCGGCACUGACCGGUACUGGGGUGUCCCUCCCCUGCACCGUAACUUCUGUUCUUGGUCUAUGAUGGUUUGCUCAAUGUUUUCGCUCCAUCAGCAAGGCAUUUUAAAGUUCGUGUCUGCCCUGAGGUUUCGUCGAGAUGUUUGGUAGGAGUGUUGGAGAAAAAAUAGGAGCCCCCUAGCCCUCGAAACCUAAUAGCCUCGGGGGGGAAAAAGUGGCUGCCAUCAUGCAGCAAGCCGUAGGAUAAGGAUUACGUUAAAAGAUUGAAACUACAUUUUGGCUGGCUCUCGAAACUUAAUCACAGCAUUUGUUCCUGGGGAAUUUGACUUGUAUGUAUGCCUACCACUUAGUUUGGACUUGUUCUUAUUUGGUUCCUGGGUAUCGCAUCCUAGUUUUUGGGCUACUGCGUCAGCCAAGUUUUCUGAAGCAACUUUUCGUGCCGAAAUUUGGUUUUGGUUACAGGUUAGGAUAGGAAAUAAAAGGGAGCCUUCUAGCCCUCGCAAACCUAAUAGCAUCGAAGGGGAUCGUAGACACCACUCCCAGGGAGCGGCGGGAUAAGGAAAUUGACUUUAAAAGACGCUAAAAUGCAAUUACGCAUCUAAAGGCGAUUUUUCUACGCCAUUGGAUGUGGGACUCCUCCACCUUUCAGGUGGCCCUACCCACUAAAAAUUGUCUCUCUGUUUAAUGCAGGCAAGCAGUUUCGGAAGCACCAAUGAGGCAUACGUCGAUCCUGCAGAGCCCUCCUUGCGCUUUAAUCUGCAGCUUCACUUUCCAAUCUGAUAUUUUUCGUGCCACCCGCGGAGUCGAGAAGGUCAAAUCUAUGUGCGAUUUCGUUUCGCGCCUGGUAAAAGUUGGAGAACUGUCAUUAAGUAUGAUAAGCUUCAAUCUGGCUCCUGCCUCAAGAAGAUAUUAACCUCGUUAUCCACUGAGAUAUUUAAAUUUAGAUAAU